UACGGGGGGGGCAAGCGUUGUUCGGAAUUACUGGGCGUAAAGGGCUCGUAGGCGGCCAACUAAGUCAGACGUGAAAUCCCUCGGCUUAACCGGGGAACUGCGUCUGAUACUGGAUGGCUAGAGAUUGGGAGAGGGAUGCGGAAUUCCAGGUGUAGCGGUGAAAUGCGUAGAUAUCUGGAGGAACACCGGUGGCGAAGGCGGCAUCCUGGACCGACACUGACGCUGAGGAGCGAAAGCCAGGGGAGCAAACGGG
rnacentral:rRNA from 1 species